GGACAUUCUGGGGCUUCCCAUCUCCAACAUAAGAAGCUAAGAAGGCUGCAGCUUCCACCGGGCCUCUUGGGCUGCGUACUCUUGACACUCCUGCUCUGAGAACUAAGCAGGCAUAUUUCAUAUCAAAAUAGUAAAGAACUUCCUUUCCAAAGGCAGGACUUGCUUCUGUGAGGUACUGAGCCACCCGUCCCUGGAGGAAAGCAAGAACAGAGCAGAUCAGAGCCCAGGAAGACAUCUUGGAUGAUGGGGUACAUCUUGCCAUCCAGAGGCAAUGCUGGAGCGGGCAGUUGUCUGCGGGGAGGCCCUGGCUCACUCUGGGCCAAAUAACAGGACUGAUUGCAGCCAGCGAUGAAACAUCCUGUUUCUCCCAACCAGAAACAGGUAGAGCUAUACACUUAAAGUUUAUUUUUCAACCAGGGCACAUUAUGAACAUCAAGAAUGAAAGAUUUAAAAGAUGAAACAUGGACUUAUUUCUUCUACAAAGGACUGGCAGAACCAGAGGCAUAUUCAGGGUCUCUACCCCUUUCUCCAUUUCUUAGAUUUUAUUGAUGUUAUUUAGGUUAUCAACAAAGGAUUGAACCUUCAGAUUACUGUGACUCAUAUAACUUUAGGUUUUCCUGUUAAUCUAUAGACAUAAGAACGUACUUACAUUUGACUUAAUCUGUAGCUAUGUCAGUUAAGGUCCCAGGAUAAAAGAGGUAGCACAACAGAUUGGCUGGCUUUCUAAUUUAAUAAAGAACCAAUUUAACAAUGUGUGGGGUAUUUUGUAUGAUUCCACUUCAUUAGAUGUCCAGAACAGGCAGAUCUAAUAAGGCAGUAGGUAGAUCAGUGGUCGCUCAGGG
ensembl:lincRNA